AUGUCAGCAUUAAAAUUAGGAGAAGAGGGAGAUGUAGAAUCACCUUCUCUUCCUGAGGACAAGGUGUUUUUACAAACAUGUAUCCUGCCCGAAAAGACAUGUGAAAAUCAAAACAAGGAAAUUAACCACCCAUUUUUGCAACUGCAAAAAAUUACUCAAGGACCAGCAAUGAAUAAGGAAUGUGAUAGGGAGCAUGAUAUAUCUCUAUAUUUAAGACAUGCUUCUAUGCAAAACUUUGAGGAAAUGUGGAUCAAAUAAGGCAAAUUAGACUGGAAAAAUAGCUUAAAACUCAUCACCAGUGAGUGAAAGCUGAAGUUUGGUGAAAUUUGUUAACAAUACAGCAUUCCUACUCGUCUUGAAGAAGAACCACCACGGGUUCACUCUAAGGAGGAACCAACUGAAAGGAAAUACCUUCGAAUUGGACAAAUACUGUGCUUGACUGUGAGGAAGAAGAUGCAUUUGGAGUGUCUGUCUCGGUAGUAUUUCAGGCAUUUCCUGAACAAAAAGAGCCUAGUCUUGAAAAUGUCAUUCUCUCUCAUUCAUACCUGGGUCCCCAGAAUAUGCUUGCCAGUCAUCUUCUAAGCUUUCUUUAAAUGAAAGCAAAUCAUCCAGGACAUAUAAAUCAAAACCACACUGAGAUACCACAUCACACCAGUCAAGAGUGGCUACGUGACCAAACCAGGAGACUAUGGAUGCUGGGGAGGAUGUGGAGAAACAAGAACCCUCUGGCACUCUUGGUGGGAAUGCAAACUGGUGCAGCCACUCUGGAAAACAGUGUGGAGGUUCCUCAAAAAAUGAAAAAUAGAUCUACCCUAUGACCCAGCAAUAGCACUGCUAGGAAUUUACCCAAGGGAUACAGGAGUGUUGAUGCGUAGGGGCAAUUGUACCCCAAUGUUUAUAGCAGCACUUUCAACAACCGCCAAAUUUAUGGAAAGAGUCUAAAUGCCCAUCACCCGACGAAUGGAUAAGGAAAUUGUGCUUUAUAUACACAAUGGAAUGCUACUUGGCCAUGAGAAAGAAUGAAAUAUGGCCUUUUGUAGCAACGUGGAUGGAACAGGAGAGUGUGAUGCUAAGUGAAAUAAGUAAUACAGAGAAAGACAGAUACCAUAUGUUUUCACUCUUUUGUGGAUCCUGAGAAACUUAACAGAAGACCAUGGGGGAGGCGAAAUGAAAAAAACAAAAACAAAAAUAAAAAAACAAA